UGUUUGUUCCAGAGGAGUGAUGCAGAGCCAGGCUGGCUCACAUUGUAUCUUCUUUCCUCCUCCCCUGCCUCCUUAUAGUAGUUAUCGCUGUCAUGUGUUUUUCAUUCACAUACAGGCCCUAAUCAAACCCUGGUUUAUACAGGAUUGCUGAGUGGUGUAGCAAAGACAACUCGGUCUUUAUUUACUACAGCUCUUGCCUAGCACAGAACCCUACCCAGAGAAACAAGCCCAGCUUGGCAGAGGAUGGGUGGGAGGAGAAAGGGACUUUAAACAAAGGACCAGAGGGCUCAAACUUCUGGAAAACACCACCUGGCUGUAUCUGGGGGGCUGCUGCAAGGAACUACCCUGGCCCUGGGGUUACCACUAGCAGAAAUUCAGAGAAAGGAGAAGAGUAGCUCCCAGGGGCAGAACAUCAGUCAGGCAGUGCCUCUACAAAAUCCCUUGGAAGAGGAGCAUUCAUUGGACUCUGCACCUGUGUAUCGCAGGCUGGCCCAUGAAAUGGGAAGGAAAGUGGCUGGGACCACAGCUGCAGGACCCGUCCCCCAGAAGCUGCGAUGUUUCUCAGCAAGCACAGCUAGCAUGCCCACAACUAGUGUGUCCUACAGUAAGAUGUGCAGCUGCCUUCCAUGGAAAGCAGAGCUGAAUCGAGCUGGCAUUGCACCUUAUCAGCUAAAGCAUCUGGUUUCAUAGCCCUUUAAUGUCUCUCUGUCGUUUCGUUCCUCUGGAUAAAGAACAUACUGAGGAGAGGAGCACUGCAAGGCAAUACCACCCAUUUCCACCAGAAACCCAUGGAGGGAACAGCUAGGUUAACUGUUCGUGGGACUGUUUGGUUUCCUUCAUGUUAUUUGAUAUGCCUGCAGUCCGCCUUGCUUCUCUCUUCUGGUAUUUAGUAUUGCAACAAGGGUGGAUCAGUCAGAACUCUACAGCUAUCACUGUGCUGCAUGCUCCAGGGUUGCUCAGAAAUCACCCUGGUGGGAAUUUAACUCUCCAGGAUUGUAUCUCUCCUAUGGACAGAGGACUUCCCUCUCCAUGCCUGUGGAGAGACCACCUUUCCACAACACUAAGGGCCCUAUCUGGUGAGAGGCUGAGCACCUCUGCUGAGCUGCCAAAUGACCGCUACUCACCCAGUGACGCUCUGGAGUUGCCUGGCAUCUUGAACGAUCAGGCAGCCUAUUCGCUGAAAAACAUAGUAGUGCAACACCCCACCGGGCUGUUACAGAGCCCAAUCUGGGCUGAAGUCGGGCGCUAGGGGUUUUAGUGGCCCACACAGUGGGCUAGAUCCUUAGCUAGUGUUCGUUGGUGUUGUGUCAUUGACUUCCCUGGCGUUUGGUUGUUCCAAUGUCUAGUCUUCCUUGAAAGAGCCACCCUGCUGCCCUGUACGACACAGGGCAGGCAGAGGGGAUGUCUCUCAAGUGUAUUACAGAGAUUAGAGUGUAAUUUAGACUCCGGAACGCCAGAUAAUUGGGCUGGACUAUAGUUGGGUAUUUCCAUUGCCUCAAAGAGGAGUAACGCAGUUAAAAGCCCAAUGCAUCACUCAGGAAUUGUUUUGCCACUAAUUGUUAAUGACUGUGCAGUAAGAGCUGAAAACGUAGCCAAGGUGCAGUAGCAACGUAUCUCGCUACUCCAGCAGACUCUUGCUUUCCCGGGGCUAAAAUUGGCCUCAGUGAAAAUAGUACUUGGUCCUGCGAGCAAGCCGCUCAAUACCAAUGCUGCUGCAGAAGCUGAUCGACUGAACUUUCUCAGCAGCCUGCACGCUUCAAAAUCCAUCCACAAUGGGAUCGCAACACUCACCUGCGUUCCUCUGCCACUUCGUAAUUAGCACAGCACGGCCGAGGCUUUGGUCAGAUCAUGCCGUCCUUGCCUUCCCCUCCCCGCGUCAGCAGGAGGAGGCCGAGUGUGCUACAGGGAGCGUCUGAACAGAACCAGAUUAAGGCACAAGCUCCAUAGGCCUGUGCCUGGGGCUUUGAUUCGCUCAAGGCGAGGGUGCAAACCGGACGGGUAUGUGAGGCAUUUUUACAUCUUGCUCUGUGGACCACACCGAAGUGUUGGGCUGGUGGCUGGGUGCAGCAUUUCAAUGUAAUUUUCCACUGUCACCUUCACACAGACGCAUUGUUCGGAGCUGGGCAGCGUGAGGCCAGAGUCUUCUCUAGCUUGACUAAGUGCCUGUGCCAGGGCUCUGGUGAGGGUUUGGGGAGUCCUGGCUCCCGGCCAUGGCAAGGAAAGGCCCACCCCCUCUAGAGGGUAGUCCCUUCCCUCGAUACACCAGUGCAAGCUUACAGUUUGCCUUUAGCCACCAUGCAUGUGAAAUGCCUGCGGUCAGAUGAUCAUGGAAAGCAAACGGACCUGGCUGACGCUACUUCAUCUUUGCAUUUUUAGCGAACCCUUAUGGGGAUUUUAUUUGGCUGAAUAUGUCCAGCUUUUAGAAUACCACCUCCUGCCUUCCAGGGGCUUGGGAGGGUUAAUUCAGUGGGAAGUGCUAGAUGUGAGGAGCGGGCAGUGCUUGGAACCAGGGGGCACCCUCGAGGUGCCACCACAGUACAAACACUAGGGUGAAAGGGGUCUGAUAUUACCAUGGGUCUGUGCCCAUGGGAAACUUUUUGCCAUAGAAGGAUACGGUUUGAAGGCAGAUCCUCCAGCACACUGGGGCGCAUUGGAGCAGCUGCUCCAGAUCAGGGCCUGCACUGAAUACUCUCCAUUACACACAAUAAGGUUACAGAACUCCAAGGGUAAAGCACCCGAUCCUGGGAGGCACCGAGCACUUCAGGCCCCAUCUUAGCUAAAAGGAUGGUCCUGCUCUCAUGCGUUAGAGCA